GACGAACGCUGGCGGCGUGCUUAACACAUGCAAGUCGAACGGAAAGGCCUUUUCGGAGGUACUCGAGUGGCGAACGGGUGAGUAACACGUGGGUGAUCUGCCCUGCACUCUGGGAUAAGCCUGGGAAACUGGGUCUAAUACCGGAUAGGACCGCACUUUAGUGUGUGUGGUGGAAAGUUUUUUCGGUGUAGGAUGAGCCCGCGGCCUAUCAGCUUGUUGGUGGGGUAAUGGCCUACCAAGGCGGAGACGGGUAGCCGGACUGAGAGGUUGGUCGGCCACAUUGAGACUGAGAUACGGCCCAGACUCCUACGGGAGGCAGCGGUGGGGAAUAUUGCACAAUGGGCGCAAGCCUGAUGCAGCGACGCCGCGUGGGGGAUGACGGCCUUCGGGUUGUAAACUCCUUUCGCCAGGGACGAAGCGUUUUGUGACGGUACCUGGAGAAGAAGCACCGGCUAACUACGUG
rnacentral:rRNA from 1 species